GGUUCAGUGGUGUAGUUGGUUAUCACGUCUGUCUCACAUCCGUCAUUGCGGAUUUCAAAGUGUGUUGUAGGGGUUCACAGGAGGUCUCCGGUUCGAGCCCGGACUGAACCA